rnacentral:lncRNA from 1 species
UUCUAGGUUGGUUUCGAAAAGUGCAUUCUUUUCCUUUAUCAUCUUCUUUCUGACUGGAGAUAAGUAAAGUAACGUACGCUUUUGCGAAGGCUCUAUGAAGAGAGUGCUGCUCCUUAUUAUAGUGCCAACUGCAUUUUAGAUAUUUGUCUUAAUUCCGGAGAUCGGUUCCUUAGAUACUUAGAAUUCCGUGCCCCUAUGCAUUUCCAGCUAUCCCCACCGCCUUUUAUCAAGCUAAGCUUCAAGCCAGAACCAAAAAGCACUGAUCCUCAUAUCAUAUGGAUGAGAAAGGCGAAAGACACAGAGCCUUGACUUCCCUCACUUUGACCUUACCGAAUAUAUAAUAGCAUUUUGAUAUCUCUGAAAUAGCCUUGAACAAGCUCACCUUCUAUCACACACCAAAGGGAGCAGGCUGAGAAUAAUAUAAAUAAUGGCGCUAUGGAUUGAUUCUAUCUUGGAAGACCAGAGCGACUAUCCAGGAACGAAUAAUGCUACUAUUAUCCAGGAACGAAUAAUAGGGUUGUUGGCUUGCCCUCUAUAGAGUAGAAGAGCUCCUUUUGAGAAAGAGAGAAAGAAAAGGGAUGUAUAGAUAGUGGAAUGAAUGGAAGGUUUGCUGAUGCUUCUACCCUGACUUGCCGCUCUUCUAGCUUGACCUAGACUCGAAAGAAAGCUCUUUGCCAGAGGUGCCUCGUCUGAAAGCCUUGGUUCUAUGAAGUCUUUCCCCCAGCAAUAUCCUCCUCGCUCCUGCGGAUGACUGUUUUUUACGACACCGGCAUGGUAAUGGAUCGAGUGUGCUUUCCUUUAUCAAUGGAACGCUUUAUCGGGUUGGUUUGUUGGGAUCUCAUAGGAAAUAGGGCACUAAAGAAAGGUGUUUGCCAAGUGAACCCCGAUGGAUGCCCACGUCUAAAGCAUUAAUUGAAGCUAUCGAAUUGUACUACAAAAGAAAAGUCUAGGAAAGAAUGAAGGGAUAAUUGACUCAUCAAGAUUUGUCUUCUUCCGCUUGGCCC